rnacentral:lncRNA from 1 species
AUGGAGGAGGCAGUAUUCUUCAGGGCCACCUGUAUGGUGACCUGGAUUCAGAUGACAGGGAAGAGGAAACCUCCAGCAUGGCCAAGGAAUCCUCCAAGAAGAAAAGAUGGAGGAAGAAGAAGAAGAAGAAGAAGAAGAAGAAGAAGAAGAAGAAGAAGAAGAAGAAGAAGAAGAAGAAGAAGAAGAAGAAGAAGAAGAGGAGGAGGAGGAGGAGGAGGAGGAGGAGGAGGAGGAGGAGGAGGAGGAGGAGGAGGAGGAGGAGGAGGGGAAGGGGAAGGGGAAGGGGAAGGGGAAGGGGAAGGGGAAGGGGAAGGGGAAGGGGAAGGGGAAGGGGAAGGGGAAGGGGAAGGGGAAGGGGAAGGGGAAGGGGAAGGGGAAGGGGAAGGGGAAGGGGAAGGAGAAGGAGAAGAACGGACCAAAAGUUCAAAUAAACACUCAGUAACAAUAUAUAACCUGUAUCCUAAUGGUGUUUUUCCCAAAGGACAAGAAUGUGAAUACCCACCCCCACAAGAUGGGCAAACACCUGUCUGGAGAACCAGAAGUGAAGAAUAAAAGGCCCUAGACCAGGCUAAUGAUAUUUGGAACGACUUCCAAGGAGCUGUGAAAGCACUUCAGCCAGUUAGGAAAUAUGUCAUGAGCUGGAUCAAGCCUGGAAUGACAAUGAUAGAAAUCUGUGAGAAGUUGGAAGACUGUUCCCAAAAGCUAAUAAAAGAAAAUGGGUUAAAUGCAGGCCUGGUGUUUCCUAUUGGGUGUUCUCUUAACUGUGCUGAACAUUACACUCCCAAUGCUGGUGACAAGAUAUUCUUACAGUAUGAUGAUAUUUGUAAAAUAGACUUUGGAUUACAUGUAAGUGUUAGAAUACUCAUUGUGCUUUUACUGCUACUUUUAAUCCCAAAUAUGGCACAUUAUUAAAAGCUAUAAAAGAUGCCACUAAUACUGCAAUAAAGUGUGCUGGGAUUGACAUUCACCUCUGUGAUGUCAGUGAGGUGAUUCAUGAAGUUAUAGGCUCCUAUGAAGUAGAAAUAUAUGGGAAGACAUUUCAAGUAAAACCCAUGCAUAACUUAAAUGGACAUUUAAUUGGACCAUAUAGAAUUCACAAUGGAAGAACAGUGCCCAUUGUGAAAGAAGGGCAAUCUACAAGAAUGGAGGAAGGAGAGGUGUAUGCCACUGAGACUUUUGGGAACACAGGGAUGACAUGGAAUGUUCAUACUACAUGAAAAUAUUUGGACAUGUGCCAAUAAGGUUUCCAAGAACAAAACAUUUGUUAAAUUUCAUCAACAAAAACCCUUGCCUUCUGCCUAAGGUGACUGGAUCACUUGGGAGAAAGUAAAUACUUAAUGGCUCUGAAGAAUCUGUAUGACUUGGGCAUUGUAGAUCCAUACCCACAACUGUGUAACAUUAAAGGAUCAUACACAGCACAGUUUGAACAUAGCAUACUGUUACAUCCAACCUGUAAAGACGUUGUCAGCAGAGGAGAUGACUAUUAA